rnacentral:rRNA from 1 species
GAUGAACGCUGGCGGCGUGCUUAACACAUGCAAGUCGAACGAGCGAAGAGGAGCUUGCUCCUCCUAGCUAGUGGCGGACGGGUGAGUAACGCGUGGGUAACCUGCCCUAUGCAGGGGGAUAACAUCUGGAAACGGAUGCUAAUACCGCAUAAACUAUGGUUCUUCGCAUGAAGGAUAUAGCAAAGAUUUAUCGGCAUAGGAUGGACCCGCGUUGGAUUAGCUAGUUGGUGAGAUAACAGCCCACCAAGGCGACGAUCCAUAGCCGGCCUGAGAGGGUGAACGGCCACAUUGGGACUGAGACACGGCCCAAACUCCUACGGGAGGCAGCAGUGGGGAAUAUUGCACAAUGGGCGAAAGCCUGAUGCAGCAACGCCGCGUGAAGGAUGAAGGUCUUCGGAUUGUAAACUUCUAUCAGCAGGGAAGAAUAAAUGACGGUACCUGACUAAGAAGUUCCGGCUAACUACGUG